rnacentral:rRNA from 1 species
GACGAACCGUGCGAACGUUGUUCGGAAUCACUGGGCUUAAAGGGCGCGUAGGCGGGCCAUAAAGUCAGGGGUGAAAUCCUCCAGCUUAACUGGAGAACUGCCUUUGAUACUGAUGGUCUCGAGUAAGGUAGGGGCAUGCGGAACUGAUGGUGGAGCGGUGAAAUGUGUUGAUAUCAUCAGGAACUCCGGUGGCGAAGGCGGCGAUGCUGGACCUUCACUGACGCUGAGGCGCGAAAGCUAGGGGAGCGAACGGG